CUAUAUAUAGUAUAUAAGAUGGGCCAAAAGCUGGCUUAAUUCGAACACGACAGCUGCCACGAUGCUCAGAUUGAUGCUCUUAGUUUGCAUGCUCAGCGUCAGCGCGCACGCCUUAAUCGAUACUAUAUUAGGGGACAAGUGGAACAACCUUAGAGUUACGUGGGGACUAAACAUCCCCAAACAUUUCAAUGCAAUGCCCAGGACAUCCAGUGAUGCGGUCGAGGCCGGUUUCAAGAAGAUCAGUAGCUGCAACAGACACGCCGCGUGGAGAGGUAAUCGGUACGUCAAAGACAACGACUACGCAGUGGUGUUGCUCUAUGACGUCAACGGCUACAUUGCAGGCAUCCAGACAUCCGUGAGACACGCCGCGUGGAGAGGUAAUCGGUACGUCAAAGACAACGACUACGCAGUGGUGUUGCUCUAUGACGUCAACGGCUACAUUGCAGGCAUCCAGACAUCCAUCCCCAACAAUCAGGCUAAUGGUUACCCCAGUACCAAGAUCCGACCACCUUUUGUGCCUGAUGGAAACCGCUACACCCUCACGGUUUACUUUGUGGAUCCCAGCAUUAUCUGUACCAGAGGUAGAACGGCGGCGCAGUACGCUGCCCAGGGCACGGGCACAGACCUGUACAUCCAAGAGACAGCCAAUCCCGAGGCAAGCACGCUGGUCCCCCGAUACGAGGCAGACCUUGCAAAGACCAAGUGGACGAAGGGAAAGUGCUUCUUCUCCAUGGGAAUGCACUAUUGGUACGACGUGAAUGAAAACACGCCAUGUGAGGAACUGUUCCCUGUUUUCCUCCUCUACAACGGGGGCAAACUCAACGCUUUUGGAUGGGCCAUGCUAACUGAUCUUCAGUUCCACUCGUUAUGAGCAUCCUGAUGCUUCAGUAGUUGGGGACAAGAACGGUAAAACCACGACAGUCACAUCAGAUGGAUAUCUCACCGUGCUGGGAAAGUUUUGGAGAAGUUUGGAGAGGAAGUGUAUGCUGAUGAGGUCUGGUUCUAGUGGGAUGGGCCCACACCCCAAACGUCUAGAAGUCAGAGUUUACAGAGACUGCUACUCCUGCACCAGUGGUGUGCAGAAGCAAUGGGUACAUGUGUAA